CCGCUCCCGGGCACUCCGCGGUGCCCCCGCGCUCACCAUGCUGCCGGCCCCGGGGUCGUUACUUCUCCCGACAAGCAAAGAGUCGAUGAGCAGGCCGUGGAAUGAACUGUGCCUGGGAGCAGCUUCACUGACUGCAAGGGGCCAUCCCUUGAACAGAAACAGUUCAUGGCAGCGCAUCCGAGUCCCCUGGGGCUGCGCUCUGAGGCCCAAGUGCACUAUGAAUGCAGGAAGACUGCAGGAGCCGACCCUCCUGGGCCCACCCGUCACUGCGGCAGGGCUCUUUCCUGCCAACAGACACUCAGCCUUUGCCUGCUAGUCGGACGGGCUCACCGACUCUGGGUAUUUUGUCGUCUGCAGGUUGGGAGCAGCAUAUCCUGCCUCCGUGGGGAAAGGAGGGGCAGGACAAGCAGCCCUAAAGCAGGGAUCACUCGGUGCUGACAAGUGCCAAGGAUCCUACAGGUGUCACGGGAAGGGGCUGGGCAGGGUCAGCUGCAUGUUUGUGGGGGGUUAAAAUGCAGCCAACCUUUGCAGAAGAAGAGCUGUGAGGGAGGAAUAAAGAAGCUUUUGCAAAACAGAAGGGGAAUGGAAAUAAAAAGGUCUGUGUUAAAGAAGGGACACAAAAGUGAAACCAAAAAGGCUUUAUUUAAUCUUGGGUUGAGGCCUCAGAGCUGGCUUCUAGUUUCCACCCACUUCUCUCCUAUUUUUCCUUACUGGAGACCUUCCUUGAACAGUUCCCUCCCAUCUCCCCCUAGGCUGGGCACUGUCUGACCUGCCAUGGGACUCUUAGCAACCCUUUGCAGGGACCAGAUGGAUCCUCUCACUGCUCUGUCCUCACUUUCCUCUCUACUGGGGUUCAGUAAUGGGAACGAUACAAAGGCUGUCUCCUGAUUCUGAAGCCACGAGCAUGUUGUGACAAACAGACCGGCUGAGAAAGGGCUUAUUUUUAUGCCUUAGCUUGUUGGCACCUAUUCUCUCAGUGCAAGAGCAUUGGGAGCUCCUUCCUGAAGGUAUUACAAAGGGGUGAAAAACAACUAAAAGCAGCUCUCUCCUGUGGCUGGUGAGAAGCAGUGCUGUCAGGCAGGCAGGGCAACGCCUUAUAGAUGAACAUGUUCAGGGAGGGCAUGGCUAGCAGAUGUGGUCAGCUUGCUCCAAGUGUAAUAAUGCCCCAGCUUCGGCCCAUUGCUGUCACAGGAAGCCUUGUAAUGGGCAUUUUAGAACAAGAGCAAGACACCCUGGUGGGCUCCAGAGGGGCUGAGCCCUGCCCGUGCUGUGGGCUCUCCCCAUGACCCUUCAUUUGUCCAUUGCAUCCUACCUGCUUUGGGGCCCUAAAGAUGCCCAGAGAUAUUUAUCCCAGAGUAGAGCUGCUCCUUGGUGCUCAGUUAUGGUAACAGCAUUGCAGACAGGUAGGGUUAAACCCUUCCUUCCCCAAGGGGCAUAGCAGCCCUUAGACUGGACCUGGAGCAGCUAGUGCCAGGCAAGUUGCAUCUGCAGGGAGCUGCUUCAACUCUGCUGGGCAUGCUUACAGAGGAGGGCACAUCCCUGGCCUACCCUGCAUCAUCAGUUCACAAAGGAGGAUGAGAUGCAGCCUCCGCUUCCCCCCCAGCAGGAAGAACCAGGGCUGGAAGAAAAAAAAAUUUCCCAUGAAGGGAAGUGCAACUGUAGCCCCUGCUUCCCCUUUGCUCAGCUGAAAUCCCAACCCUGUUGUGGCUGCCAGCAGAAGUCUGGGAAAUGCCCUUCUGAUGAUCCUUCCCCUGGUCCCUGUGCAAGCCAAGAAAUGGGGUUUUACCUUGUGCACCAGUGCGCCCCUCUCACCCCCACCCCGCCAGCAGCUGUUCUGUCUCAGGAAUGCACAGAGGAAAAGAAACACAGACACGGAUCCUCUAAGACAGGGAAAGUUUUUUAUUCACGAACUCAUCAGACAUGAACAGUUGGGUCCAGAACAAAC